CCAAAACUAAAUCAUGGAGACAUGAAAGUUCCAAUGAAUCAACUUAGCAAAAUCAGCCAAACAAGCCACUGAAGAUGAAUAUAAUCACAUACUAAGGAAGGGCCUGCCAUUAAACAACAGUAGCUAUGAACAGCUUGAAAGAACAUCAGAUGAACAGAACGUUAACACUGAUGAAUCCUCAAGGAGAUGACAAUUGCAACUAGAUUCAUAGCAUAGAGUCGAUUGAUACAUAACCCAACAAAAUCCCCAACUCUCACAUCUUUGCUACUAGCAAAAUAACAUAAAACAUGUUAAUACAGGAAUGAAAGCAGGAAGCUCAUGCCAAAUGCAUACUACGUCUACAUUAGACAUGCAGGAUCAGAAACUUGGAAAUGAAAAUCUCAUGACUCGAUAAAUUUUUGACUUCUACGUUCACCUUUUAUCCACACCGAAAACAAUCAUUUAACUCAAAGAAAACAAACAGCAUAAACAUAUCUUCAAUACGAUUCAGAAUCCAUAGCAUGCUCAUUGAACACAGAACUUCAGCUAUUCUUUUAGACUUAACCAUUUUUACAAUUGUCCAUGACUUUCUUCACAACAGAAUAUAGGAGAAGAAAAGGAAUAACAACCUGGAAUUAAAUUGAAUUCAUCACAACACUGAAAUCGGCCAAAAGAGGAUAACUAGAAACUAAACAACAGUCCUCGAGCAGCAACAGACUCGAACUUGUCAAACAACUUCCAUUUUAACCCCAAAAUCGAGAAUUAUAACGAAAAGAUGAGUUCCAGAAGUCUCAAAGACAAAAAUUCUAAACAAUAAUCGACAAGAAAAAAUAAAAUCACAGCACUCUCAGUGAUUUUGUGUUGUUCCAGUAUCAUAAAUAUAAGAACGAAAUAAACUGAAAAUAAUCUCUCAAGUUCCUUUCUGAAAAAUCUCUCCAACUCUCAAAAUUUUCUUUUUUUCCACGGGAUUGGAAAUGGCCCUUUUGAAAACGAACCUCUGAUGAAUGUGGGGCUAGGAUUUAGUGAGAUCGAUCGCGUGAAAUGGUUCGAAAUCGGGCGAGUGCGAGGAGAGGGAAUCUCUGGUGUCAAAAACCAUUAGAACGGUGAGACGAGGGAUGGGGGAAUGCGUGGGUUGUGGAUUUGAGGCUCACUCGCCAUGGAUUGGACAGGAUUAGGGUUGGAUUCAGUAGGUUUGGAGAAGAAGAACAGAGGCUGCGUUUUGGGAGAUUAGGAUUUUGGGUGCCCGUUCGUUUCAUGUUUGUCAAUUGAGAACAGGUCGGGUAUGGGCUAGUUGGGGCGUGGGUUGGG
rnacentral:lncRNA from 1 species